rnacentral:rRNA from 1 species
GAUGAACGCUGGCGGCGUGCCUAAUACAUGCGAGUCGAGCGAACAGACGAGGAGCUUGCUCCUCUGACGUUAGCGGCGGACGGGUGAGUAACACGUGGAUAACCUACCUAUAAGACUGGGAUAACUUCGGGAAACCGGAGCUAAUACCGGAUAAUAUAUUGAACCGCAUGGUUCAAUAGUGAAAGACGGUUUUGCUGUCACUUAUAGAUGGAUCCGCGCCGCAUUAGCUAGUUGGUAAGGUAACGGCUUACCAAGGCAACGAUGCGUAGCCGAACUGAGAGGGUGAUCGGCCACACUGGAACUGAGACACGGUCCAGACUCCUACGGGAGGCAGCAGUAGGGAAUCUUCCGCAAUGGGCGAAAGCCUGACGGAGCAACGCCGCGUGAGUGAUGAAGGUCUUCGGAUCGUAAAACUCUGUUAUUAGGGAAGAACAAAUGUGUAAGUAACUAUGCACGUCUUGACGGUACCUAAUCAGAAAGCCACGGCUAACUACGUG